GAGAUCGUGUGUCGGCCAUCUCGCGUCGCCACGAAAACACGACAGUCGUUCGUCAUGCCUUGGAUAUAACAACAAAUCCUCCACGGCACCCGCUUUAUAUAACGCAAGAAGGCAGCUGCAAGGACACGAGGAUGUGAAAGAGCCAGUGCAGCGCGACUGCACGUAGUGCAGAGGAGCCAAUGCCAAAAAAUCAAAAUACAUUGGCAUGUUAUUUGGACAAGAAAACUAGUAUGUGGGUAUAUUGGGUGUACCAUUUGACCAAAUGUCAACAAAAUCAAGAUACAGUAUGUUACACGAAGAUGAAAAUUCUCACGUGCUCCAGGCAGUCAUCUUAACAUGGUAUAUUUAUGUAAUGUCUCUGAUUGGAAAGUCAAAUCAAGUAUGCUCUCUGGAGACAAACACAUAGCAGCAAGUGUCAUUGAAAAGUUAAAAAUGUGUUUUAAGAAAGCUGAUUAGUUCUGAGAAGUGACUGCUUUUUGUCUUGCCUCUCAACAGAUAUAUCCAUGUGAUAAAAAAAUAGUGGUACAAUGAAAUUGCAUAUUUGCUUAGCGACAUGAUACAUACUUGCAAUGAGCACGGUGCCUGUGUUUACUAUAAAAAGCAACAGCCCAUGCUUGGUUAGGUUAGGCCCACUACAACAUGCAGGCAUGGGUGAUUGGCGCUUUUUUUAUUUCUGUGUCGUGAGGUUUAUUGACGUGCGUAUAGGUGCAGUGGCACGCAGUAUGGCUAGUACAAAAAAAAAGGGGGGGGGGCAGAUAUAUGUAGCUCACUGUACACGACACAGGGCAAAGGAAAUCCGUGUUCAGUAACUAUGUUAAAUGCCAUGUACGUAAAUUUUACAACGCUACUUGUUCGAAGCGCGCACAGGUGCAUAUUGAAGAAAAGUUUCCAGGGUAGAUAAUUUAGUUCGUAAUUUACACUAAUUAUGCUCUAACCAUGAGACAUAAUAAUUUGAAUAUACUGCACGGAAAAACCUAGAGCGAAUUAAAUUGUGUGUCAGCUUCGUGUGUAUACAUAUAGUCUUUCCUAUGCAUUAGGUUUUUUGCGUAAUGCAUUAACAGUUGACAGCCUAUCUUAUGAUGUGUACUCUGUUUACAUUACAGUUGUUUAUUAGUUUACUCGUUUGUUUUCUGACUGAUGAAAUGCCGGCAUAUAUAUAUUUUCAACAUUUGACAUAACCCUGUAUGUUUUGCAGGGACAACCCAGGACGUGCAUUUCUCAGCACCCAGUCAACUGCCAAAAGUGACUCAAACACAGGCCACCAGUGGAACUCGGCUGUACCACUGCAGUGCUGUGGAAAUUGCCUUCACCAGCGGCUUUGCAACAGCUGUUUCGCAGCAUGUCGGAGACAAUGCCUACGAAAUUAUUGGCCCUGAUCAUGAGAGCCCUCAAGGGGCAAACAACAUCUCUGUUGCAGAAGUGAGCCCGAUACCACUUGGAAGUUACCAUGACAGAUGACACGGCAGCAAUAGAUACAGAGACUGCCAUGUCUACUGCAGCUGCAACAGUGUACGAGGCAAGCAGCAGCGCGUCAGCAUCAGCAGCAGUGUCAGAAGGAACCACACCAGGCCUGGUAGAGCAACAUGUGUGCUAUCACUGACUUUUUUUGUAGUGGAUACAACUCAUUUGCUCAACAUACAAAAGCUUUUCACCACGACUGUGAGCCAGUGUUAUUGUGCAGCAAGUGCAAGACUAAGUUAGGUGUUAUAACACAGUACAAGCAUCACUUUAAUAUAUGCAAAUGCAAACAGAUUACAGUUGUUGCCUCCCCAGCCAGCCCACAUAGUGACAACAACGUGGAACACAUGGUGGGACACACCUCUCUCCUAUUACAAGAUAGUAGAGACUGUCAGUGUUGUUGCUAGAUUGACUGGUCUUUGUAGGCAACUAGAAGGACAACACAGGUGUCAUAAGAUUGUUGUUGAUGUUGUUGUUGAAGAGGUAAAAAAGAAGUUUGAUGCAGCUGAAGUGCCAACUGAUAUUGAGCAAAUCAAAGGCAACCACCUGAGAAAGCAACACUCGAAAUUUGGGUAUCUAUGUGCCGCCAACUCUGGUAAGAAUGGCAUAGGACAGAAGUGUGACGAAAAUCACACAGACACUGCUGUUGCAUCACUGGCCACAGUGAGCAGCGACUUGUAGGGCAAGAGAGUCAACUGAAACUAACAUUAUGAUAUAGUGUCAUGCUCCCAUGUGACCACUUUUCAAGUUAUUUUGCAAGAUACAGCUCAACCUCCAGAAACGAGACUGCAACUUGUCUGUAAAAAAGCUUUCACAAAAAAUUAUUCAUAACACUAUUAACAUAGCAGUAUCUUUUUUUUUGUGUCGGUUCGAGGUUCCCGGCUGUCCAUUAAUGCAAAAAUUGAGGAAAUAAAGAACAUGUGUCGUACUUACACCUUUUUAACAAGUACGAGGGGGACAGAACUUUUCUAGUCAUGCAUCUUCAUCAUACUAUCAAGUUUUUAAAUGCCUUUUAUAAUUAUUAUUACCAGUUAUAUCUGAGUGCAUUGUAUGCAUGUAGCAGGUGUAAAAUCAGGUCAGUUGGAUCAGAUGCCUUAUCUGCAAGCGAGCCCUAUAUUCAAGAAAUUUGAAUUAACAUAGUUACGUUAGAGACGCAGUCUUUCAGCACUUUAUAGCCUGUGGUUUAAGCAUUGCUCAAUACUUUUGUGGGUGGCAAUUUCAACCGGCACAGCACUGCGCUUUGCCACAGUCACAUUUGUCUUCAAAGCGGUGUUUACCAUUUGUGUUGAUCUCUUUGUGUAUGCAUAGAGCAAGUUCUUAAUUUAUAUUUUUCUGCAUUCUUGUGCUUGCACUAAGCUUGUAUAAGGCAGUUACAAAAUGUGCGUCACUAUAACGAACUGUUCUGUUGAGCUUACACUUGCAAAUAAUCGUGUUCAGAUGGCCGCACUUCUAUGCGGGUGCACCGCUAGCUUUGUGUAUGUUCUCAUGUUUGUAUAAAGCUUAUAUAAGCUAGUUAGAAAAUGUACGUCACUAAGCGCUGUGAUAUUUUUUAAAGAACUGCUUUGUUGGUUUUACACCUGUGAGUAAUAGUACUCGGGUGGCACUAGUCAUGUGUAGGUACACAGGGACCAUUUGUAUACAUUAUGCUCAUGUAAAGCAGUUACAAAGUGUAUGUCACUAAUUACUGUGAUAUUUGUUGAAUUGCUGUGAUGGUUUUACACAUGUGAAUAAUAGUGGUCAGGACACAGUACUUGCGGUGUAUAGUUGAAUUUAUACACUGCCAAGACAUGGGCUGUAUACGUACCAAAAGAAAUGUAUGUCAUUAUAUUGUUGUGAUUAUUACUGUUUGGAUUUUAUUAAACUGUAAUAAAAUUGUUUCUUGUAUCUAU